CCAAGUGCUGGGGUUCCGGUUCAGGAAGGCUGCGUAGGCCGAGCUGGGCUGUCUGAAAGCCAGCUGCUGGGUGUACCCUGCAGGGAAUGACAGUCACCAAAGGGAGGGACCUAGGGGGCGGGGAGAGCUGGGGGCGUGGCCUGGUGAUGGGGCGGGGCCUAGAGGGGGCUCUUGGCAGGGGCGGGGCCUCGAGAGGAGCUGGAGCCCCGUAGCGCUGCACGCACCCUUUUUGAUGAGGUCCAGGGCCGCCUGUCGCUUCUCCAAGCCGAACUUCUCCCACUGCUCCGUUUGGUCCAGAUUGCUGAUCUUUUCGGCAGCCCCUAAACUUCUGGGCCCAGGGCAUCUCACUCGCUUUGUCCUGAUCCUGGUUCCGCUCCCAAGUGCCUGGACCGUCUACAGUUCCUACGCGGGCACGGUGCGUGAGCCAGGUCUCCCCCGUGGGCGACAGCGCCCUCACCUCCGAGGCCCCUUCCCGAGGGCCGGGCGCACUCACCACGACCUUGAGGGUCUUCUUCACACCGUCGCUGAUGAAGUGGUUGUAGACGGCGGCCUUGACCUCCACCUCCUGCAGGCCGGUCUUCAAGGGCACGAUGACGUAGGGCACCGGCAGAGAGGACUUGGGCGGGAUCGUCACAGUCUGGUAGUGCCGCUUCUUGGCGGUGGCCAAGCUGCAGAAGGCCGGGUUGUGGAGCAGCUCCACUCUCACCUGCACGAGGAUGGGUGAGGCGUCAGGGGCGGAGGACGCAUUGCCAGACGCCCCGUCUUGCGUCCCCCGGCUUCGGGCACGCCAGGGCCCACCUUGAGACUCUGGUCCUCGCGGUAAUUGUAGAGCACGGCGCGGAUCUCCACCUGCUCGUUGCGCACCACGGAGUAGGGCAGCCGCAGGUCGAUGAAGAAAUCCUGCACCACAGUGACCUCGUAGGGGUCGGCUACGCAGAUACCUGCAGGCGCGGAGACAACACACUGCGCGUCACGUCACCGCCGGGCUCCUGGUUCACGCUGCUGUGACAGCCAGCGUCUGGGCUCUUACUCGCUAACCGCGGGAGCUGGGCCUGGGUCAGACUGUCUUUGCCCGAGCACACGGACUACACUUCGCUAGCGAUGACAGGGUCCUGGGGGUGGGAGCACCUGGGAGUGGCUUUUACUUAAUGAUUUUCACUGAAGUUCGAGGCCUGGAUGUGUAGGAAGGAAGAAAGCAAAUGUAGCUCUGCUUGGUGGCCCACGCCUGUAAUCCCAGCGCUCUGGGAGGCUGAGGCAAGAGGAUCGAGCCCAGCCUAAGCAAUUCAGCAAUUUAGUGAGACCCUGUCUCAAAAAAAUUUUUUUUUAAGAGUUGGGGAUGCUGGGUAUGGUGCACAUGUCUAUCAUCCCAGAACUCUGGAGCCUGAGGCAAGAGGGUCACCAUGAGUUCAAGGCCAGCCUGAACUACAUAGCAAGACCCAAUAUCAAAAAAAUAAAAGUUUAUUUAACCUAACUCAGACUUAAACUCAAACACUACUGCCCGUCAUGAAUAUACAUACCUGCACCAGCUGUGUACAUGACAGCACAUUUUAAGACGUUAACUUGUAUGGCUGUGUGAAUUCAAUCUAAAUUUAUGGGAAGUGGCCCUAGAUUCAGGGACAGGAAGACGCUAUGGAUGCUUGUAAUAACUGUUCAACUGUAUCAUUGACCCUAACAUGCAGACCAAGGUACCCCAUCCUAACUGAGCUGGGCUCAAGUGUAACAUGAACACUUGAUCUGGCAGAUCAGCACAAACAGAAGAC
ensembl:lncRNA